rnacentral:rRNA from 1 species
UUCCGAUCUUGAUGUCCUAAACGGAUAUCUGCGAUAAUUUUGGAGCUAAUACGUGCACCAAAUCUCGAUCUUCGGAUCCGAGAGCACUUGUUAGACCAAGACCAUUCCGGGCAACCGGGUUUUGGUGACUCUGAACAAUUUCGCUGAUCGCACGGUCUCGUACCGGCGACGUAUCGUUCAAGUAUCUGCUUUAUCAACUUUCGAUGGAAGUCUAUAUGGCUACCAUGGUUAUGACGGAUAACGGAGAAUAAGGGUUCGACUCCGGAGAGGGAGCCUGAGAAACGGCUACCACAUCCAAGGAAGGCAGCAGGCGCGUAAAUUACCCACUCUCAAUACGAGGAGGUAGUAACUAUCAAUAACGAGACAGAUCUCUUUGAGGCCUGUUAUCGGAAUGGGUACAAUUUAAACCCUUUAACGAGGAUCUAUGAGAGGGCAAGUCUGGUGCCAGCAGCCGCGGUAAUUCCAGCUCUCAAAGUGUAUAUCGUCAUUGCUGCGGUUAAAAAGCUCGUAGUUGGAUCUGAGUCUUUGGACGCGGUGCUCCUUUGGAGUGACUGUGCUCCUUGACUGAUUAGUCGGUUUUCCUUGGUUUGCCUUAACCGGUAGGCCUUGGUGCGCUGACAUAUUUACCUUGAAUAAAUCAAAGUGCUCAAGACAGGCUUUAAGCUUGAAUGUUCGUGCAUGGAAUAAUAGAAAAGGACUUCGGUUCGUUCUAUUGGUCUUAGGACCGAAGUAAUGGUUAAGAGGGACCGACGGGGGCAUCCGUAUCGCUGCGUGAGAGGUGAAAUUCUUGGACCGCAGCGGGACGUCCUAUUGCGAAAGCAUUUGCCAAGAAUGUCUUCAUUAAUCAAGAACGAAAGUCAGAGGAUCGAAGCGAUUAGAUACCCCCCUAGUUCUGACCGUAAAGAUCCACUAUAGAUCAGUGUUGAUAUAUUUGUCACACGCGGGAGAUCUCCCGAAAAGAAAAUGUCCGGGGUUUCGGGGUAGUAUAGGUUCAAAAAGGAAAAAUAUAGGAAAAGUGAGAAAGGCACCCCCACGAGAGGAGCCCGUGGGUUAAAAUGAGUCUCCACGGGAAAAAUCUCCCCGCCCCGACACACUAAAAAGAGACACAGAGAUAGAUUUUUCUCGAGUUGGGGGGGGGGGGGGCACAGCCCCUUUUAGAGGGGGGAGAGAUAUUUGUGGGUUAUUUUCAUAAAGAAAGAGAGUCUAACACAUUAAAAAGUAACCGGAUAAAAACCAGUCCGGCGUACUUCUUAGAGGUAUAAGUGGUGUUCAACCACAUGAAAUUGAGCAAUAACAGGUCUGUGAUGCCCUUAGAUGUUCGGGGCUGCACGCGCGCUACACUGAAAGGAUCAGCGUGUUGAUUCCUUGGUCGAAAGGCCUUGGUAAUCCUUUGAAAACCUUUCGUGAUAGGGCUCGGGGAUUGCAAUUAUUUCCCUUAAACGAGGAAUUCCCAGUAAGUAUGAGUCAUCAGCUCAUGUUGAUUACGUCCCUGCCCUUUGUACACACCGCCCGUCGCUGCCCGGGACUGAGUUGCUUCGAGAAGUGUGGGGACCGUUGCUGU